GGUCCGAUGGUGUAGUUGGUUAUCACGUCAGUCUAACACACUGAAGGUCCCCAGUUCGAACCUGGGUCGGAUCA